CAGGCAGUUGCAGUGGUGCAGAAUGGCUGACCUCAGUCUUGCAGAUGCAUUAACAGAGCCAUCUCCAGAAAUUGAGGAAGAGAUAAAACGGGACUUUAUUGCCACGCUGGAGGCAGAGGCCUUUGAUGAUGUUGUGGGAGAAACUGUUGGAAAAACAGACUAUAUUCCGCUCCUGGAUGUUGAUGAAAAAACCGGGAGUUCGGAGUCAAAGAAGAAACCAUGCUCAGACACUCGCCAGGUUGAAGGUACUCCAUCUUCUCAAGCCACAGUGCUCGCCAACGGUGACCACGGAAUAGAACGGAAUGAUGUCACUGGGUUUCCAACUGAAUUCCUUGAAGAGACGAUGGCCUACCAGGGAUAUCAGAACAGCCAGAACUGGCCAGAAAAUACAAACUUUUGCUUUGAACCCGAGCAAAUGGUAAAUCCUAUCCAGACUGAUCCCUUUAAGAUGCACCAUGAUGAUGGCCUAGAAGAUUUGCUCUUUCCCCCCAGUGGAACAACCAAUACUUCAGCAUUUGUAGAACAAAAUGAUCCCCUGAAAGACAGUUAUGGUAUGUUACCCUGCGACACAUUUGCUCCUGCAGCUGUUGUUCCUCAGGGGUGGUCUGCGGAAGCCCCAAACCCUGCACACUUGGAAUCCUUCAUUUCCCCCGAGGCCGUUCCACAGCCUCUGCAGCCAACAGCAGUGUCCAACUUACUUCCCUUAGAGCCAGCCGAGAAAGUAGAAAUGGCAUCAGGAGAAGAAAGAGCACCAGCAGAAUCAUUGGAGAUGAUGGUGAAUCUGCAGCCUGCUGACAUGGUGCCAUCUCGAGAAGCAGAGAUGGUCCCAGCUAAAGAUGUGGUGCCAGCCACAGAGACAGAGGUGGCAUUGGCUAAAGACGUGGAAUCACCUACCAAACCAGAUGAGGCAUUGGUCAAGGACGUGGAAUCAUCCAUCGAAUCAGAUAUGGCCUUAGUCAAGGAUGUGGUACUACCCGUACAAACAGAGGAAACCGCAGUUAAGGAUGUCAUAUUGCCCACAGAAACAGAUGUGUCUUUGGACAAGCACCUGGCACUGUCCACAGAAACAGAGGUAUCCGCAGCCCAGGACAUACUGCUGUUCAAAGAAACAGAGAGCACACCACCUGUUACCAUGGAUUUGGCCUCAGCUGAGGGCACAGUCCCACCUACAAAGAUGGCCCCAGUGAAGGGUGCAGCAUCACUCUCAGAGAUAGACGCGCCCCUGGAUGAGGACAUUGUGUCAUCCACAGAAAUACGCUCAGCCAAAGAGAGAGCCCUGUCCUCAGAAACAGAGGUGGCCCUGAUCAGGGAAAUGGGACUGCCCCCAGAAACAGAGGCCGUUCUAGACAAGGACAUGGCUGCACCUCCAGAAACAGAAGUCAUCGUGCCAGUCAGAGACAUGGCUCCACCCCCGGGAAUAGAGAAGACCCUGGCCAAGGACGUGGCUCCACGUCAAGAAAUAGAGGUGACCCUGGGCAAGGAUACAGUUUCACUUCCAGAAACAGAGAUGGCCCUGGGCAGGAAUGUGGCUCUGCCCCCAGAAACAGAGGUAACCCUGGCAAAGGAUGUUGCUCAGCCCCCUGAAACGGAGGUGAACCUGGCCAACAAUGCAGCUCUGGCCAAAUUCUCAGAAGCAGAGGUGGUACCAGUUCCUGUUAAGGACAUGGAAACUGCAUGGACCCAGGAAGCAACAAGUGAGGAUUCCCAGUUAAAAUCUCUCCAGGAUGAGGGACAGUCAGCUGUACCUCCUCUUAUGACUUCACCAGAAGCAGUCGUGGCCAUGGGCCAAAAGCACAGCUUGCCAACAGAUGAGGAUUCUGUGUUAGAAGAACUAGAGCAAAAGAAACCAUCUAGUCAAACUUCUGAGCUUCCUUCAGAGACUUCAGGAAUAGCCAAGCCAGAAGAAGGACAACCUGCCGGAAGCGUGUCUGGAAAUGACAUCACCGCCCCUCCAAACAAGGAGCUCCCACCAAGCCCAGAGAAGAAAACAAAGCCUUUGGCCACCACUCAACCUGCAAAGACUUCAACAUCGAAAGCCAAAACACAGCCCACUUCUCUCCCUAAGCAGACAGCUCCCACCACCUUUGGUGGGUCGAAUAAAAAACCCAUGAGCCUUGCUUCAGGCUCAGUACCAGCUGCCCCACCCAAACGCCCUGCUGCUGCCACUGCCAGGCCUUCCACCUUACCUUCAAAAGACACGAAGCCCAAGCCUGUUGCAGAGGCAAAGAUUCCUGAGAAGCGGGUCUCUCCAUCCAAGCCGGCCUCUGCCCCAGCUGUCAAACCUGGCUCCAAGAGCACCCAGGCUGUUCCCAAAGCCCCAGCAACUGCGGCUCUUGCUUCACCUGGGUCAACCAGUAGGAACCUGUCCACACCCUUGCCCAAGAGGCCCACUGCAGUCAAGACUGAGGGGAAACCUGCAGAGAUCAAGAAGAUGGCUACAAAGUCUGCACCAGCUGACUUGAGUCGCCCAAAGAGCACCACCACAAGUUCUGUGAAGAAGAGCACCGCUGUCCCUGGGACAGCACCCCCAGCAGGGGCUCCCAGCAGAGCCAAGCCCACAGCCACGCCUCCCAGGCCCUCCGGGACUCCUCCCGCGGACAAGAAGCCCACAGCAGCCAAGCCCAGCUCCUCUGCCCCGAGGCUGGGCCGCGUGGCUCCCAAUGCUUCUGCCCCUGAUCUGAAAAAUGUCCGCUCCAAGGUCGGCUCCACCGAAAACAUCAAGCACCAGCCUGGAGGAGGCCGGGCCAAAGUAGAGAAAAAAACAGAGGCAGCUGCUCCAGCUCGAAAGCCUGAACCUAACGCAGUCACUAAAGCAGCCGGCCCAAUUGGCAAUGCACAGAAACCGCCUACGGGGAAAGUCCAGAUAGUCUCCAAAAAAGUGAGCUACAGCCAUAUUCAGUCCAAGUGUGGUUCCAAGGACAAUAUUAAGCAUGUCCCUGGAGGUGGUAAUGUUCAGAUUCAGAACAAGAAGGUAGACAUCUCUAAGGUCUCCUCCAAGUGUGGGUCGAAGGCUAACAUCAAGCACAAGCCUGGUGGAGGAGAUGUCAAGAUCGAAAGUCAGAAGCUGAACUUCAAAGAAAAGGCCCAGGCAAAGGUGGGAUCCCUCGAUAACGUGGGCCACCUGCCUGCAGGAGGUGCCGUGAAGACUGAGGGCGGUGGCAGCGAGGCCCCUCCGUGUCCAGGCCCCCCUGCUGGGGAGGAGCUGGCCAUCCCUGAGGCAGCGCCUGAAGCUGGCGCCCCCACUUCAGCCAGUGGCCUCAGUGGCCACACCGCCCUGGCAGGGGGUGGUGACCAAAGGGAGGCCCAGACCUUGGACAGCCAGAUCCAGGAGACAAGCAUCUAA
rnacentral:lncRNA from 1 species